rnacentral:sRNA from 1 species
GGCCUGCGAGUUACCGCCCACUGGCUGCGGCGCUGCUGGCUCCAGGCCGCCCUCCGGAUCCGAUCCUGCGAAUGGUUUUGGCCACAUCUUCAUGCCUCCUCACAGAUUCCUGUCCCUUCUGUGUCCCGGACUCCGGAUACCUCGACUGUCAGUACUUUGUGCUCAGCCCAGGCCCAGAGCCAUGGCUAUCUCCUCUUCCUCCUGCGAACUGCCCCUGGUGGCUGUGUGCCAGGUAACAUCGACGCCAGACAAGCAACAGAACUUUAAAACAUGUGCUGAGCUGGUUCGAGAGGCUGCCAGACUGGGUGCCUGCCUGGCUUUCCUGCCUGAGGCAUUUGACUUCAUUGCACGGGACCCUGCAGAAACGCUACGCCUGUCUGAACCACUGGGUGGGAAACUUUUGGAAGAAUACAGCCAGCUUGCCAGGGAAUGUGGACUCUGGCUGUCCUUGGGUGGUUUCCAUGAGCGUGGCCAAGACUGGGAGCAGACUCAGAAAAUCUACAAUUGUCACGUGCUGCUGAACAGCAAAGGGGCAGUAGUGGCCACUUACAGGAAGACACAUCUGUGUGAUGUAGAGAUUCCAGGGCAGGGGCCUAUGUGUGAAAGCAACUCUACCAUGCCUGGGCCCAGUCUUGAGUCACCUGUCAGCACACCAGCAGGCAAGAUUGGUCUAGCUGUCUGCUAUGACAUACGGUUCCCUGAACUCUCUCUGGCGUUGGCUCAAGCUGGAGCAGAGAUACUUACCUAUCCUUCAGCUUUUGGAUCCGUUACAGGCCCAGCCCACUGGGAG